rnacentral:rRNA from 1 species
AGAGUUUGAUCAUGGCUCAGGACGAACGCUGGCGGCGUGCUUAACACAUGCAAGUCGAACGGAGUGCUCCGGAAAGAGAUUUCGGUCAAUGGAUGGAGUUACUUAGUGGCGGACGGGUGAGUAACGCGUGAGGAACCUGCCUUUCAGAGGGGGACAACAGUUGGAAACGACUGCUAAUACCGCAUAACGCACGGGUAUCGCAUGGUAUCUGUGCCAAAGAUUUAUCGCUGAGAGAUGGCCUCGCGUCUGAUUAGCUAGUUGGUGAGGUAACGGCCCACCAAGGCGACGAUCAGUAGCCGGACUGAGAGGUUGGCCGGCCACAUUGGGACUGAGAUACGGCCCAGACUCCUACGGGAGGCAGCAGUGGGGAAUAUUGGGCAAUGGGCGCAAGCCUGACCCAGCAACGCCGCGUGAAGGAAGAAGGCUUUCGGGUUGUAAACUUCUUUUAAGAGGGAAGAGCAGAAGACGGUACCUCUUGAAUAAGCCACGGCUAACUACGUGCCAGCAGCCGCGGUAAUACGUAGGUGGCAAGCGUUGUCCGGAUUUACUGGGUGUAAAGGGCGUGUAACCGGGC